rnacentral:ncRNA from 1 species
UAAAUCCUUAUCAGCGCUAAGCAAGAACAAUUGUUUUAUGAGAAAGAAAAACUCUAAUGAUAAGAAGUUGUGGUAGGUACUGAUAAUAUCU